AGUGCUUGCUUUGGCAUUGCGUACUAAAAUUGGAAUGAUACAGAGAUGAUUAGCACAGAUCCUAUGCAAGAAUGACACACAAAUUUGUGAAGUGUUUCAUAUUUGC
ensembl:snRNA U6 U6 spliceosomal RNA